rnacentral:misc_RNA from 1 species
GGCAGAGCUUCUACACUUGUCCAUUCUUCAAUUCAAUAUCUCCCUAUCCUGUAAUUCGGUGCUGAAAAGUGUUUUUUGUUUUGAUCUUCAUCCGAUCUCUUCAUCUCCAUGUCGAUGCUUAACUCCUUCUUCAACAAGGGCUUCAGGGCUGCCCAAUGUAAAACACUGCUUAAAUUGACAAUUCCACGAAUAAAGCUGCUGAGGAAUCGAAGGGAGAUCCAGC